UUAACUUUUGAUGACAUUGCCUCAGUUGUUGAAAGGCUAGGCCUCUCACCAGAGGAAAUUACAGCAGCGAGCGACCAUCAAGAAAAUUGAUUAUUUUCUGUGAUGGUCAUUGAACUGGAAAGGUCUAACACCCUCAGCUAUCGCCGUCAACUAUACGACGUGUGGAGUAAGGGAAGGAUGGCCAAUGCACAACCCCACUCCAUCUCCCAGAUUUCCCAUUCACUAUCCCCAGCUCCCCUCAAUCACUACCCCAGCAAGUAUACACCACGCGGCAGCUGCCUUUAACACCAGCACAAGCAGCUGAAACGGUUGAUCCCGCUAAGGUAUCCCACCUUCCACCACUCCAACCCAAGCCUGGAUACAUUUCUGUUUGCAGGUAGUUCCUCAUCAUGUGAGGACUGGAAGGCGGACCAAAAAAGAUGGAUUCAGAAGGGAUCUCACAGCCUUCCUCGCCGUUCACCAAAACUAAGGGUGCGGUACUAUGCAGGAAAGGAAGCACCAGGGCGCCAAAAAAGGGAGGAUGAGUUGCUUCACCAGCCUGAAACUCCUGUGCUAAUUCACUACUUUGGUGAAGAGGCACACUCCAAUGUCCCCAACCCACGGCAACAGCCAACAGCAGCAAGCAAGGGAUUUAAUCCGAUCAGCUACCUUAAUUAUAGAUGAAAUGUCCCGACGAAAGACUGAAACACCUGGCAAAGUGUACUCUGAUAUGACCAAUAACCCACCACCACCCCCAAAUGCAUCAUUCAUGCCAGUUUACUGACCUCGCAACUUGGCACAAGUGAAGAACACAAUUCGUCGAGCAAGGGACAUCACUGUUUUGGACCGGGACGAGUUGGUGGCAACACAUAUGAUGGGUGACAUUCUCCCUGGAUUUGUCACCCAUAUGGAGACUCAACCCGCAACCCUUCUGGUAGUGGCAUCACCAAAAAUGGUUGAAGAGGCCACGGCAGUUAUUAAAAGCAAACACCAAGGAGCACACAUUUUUCACUAUGACACCGCGUUUGACCUCUGCAAUUUUUGUUUCACCCCUUGUUUUCAGUGAUAUAGCAUUUCAAGAGGUACCCGUCCUUCCCCUGGCAUUCCUCAUUCACACCACCCGGCACAUGGAAAACCACAAGUUCUUUCGCACCAUCCUUUCAUUCAUUCCCCAACUAUCAACUUCAAUCUUCUUUACAGACCAUGAGGUGGCUAUUGAGGGAACAAUCCAGUCUGUGCUGCCGCAAGCCAGGAUAGUCAAUUGCUGGAACCACAUCUCGAACAAUGUGAAGCAGAAGAUGGGGUCAGAGGGUGCUGACGGUGUGGCCCGAUUACCAGCAGGCCAUCAAAGAGCUCUUGGCCACGAAAUCAAGGAGUGACUACGAAUGCACACUGGAGUGUGUGCCUCCACUGGAGCCCUGAUUUCGAGGCUUAUUUCCAUCAGUUGCUCUCUGACGCCAUGGACAAGGGUGCACAAUAUGUGCUCAACAGCUUGGGCAUCCAGUCAGAUGAAAUUACCAACAAAUGCUCAGAGCUUCAAUGCUGUCCUCAAGGAAUUGGUUUGAUGGAAGGUCAGAGUAGACAGUGGUUUAUCUACUCUACCAACUCCAAACCAAAGCCUUGAGGGAGGUGCUGCGGGGCUACUGUAACCUAGGGAAUUUCUACCUGACCCCAGAGUGCCAUGAGCAAUUUUCCAGGUGAAUGCUCACCACCAGUUUCCCCUACCACAUGUUAGAAGAAGACAUGGUGUAUUUUGCUGAAGGCAUCCAGUCCUGUGUGGCACAAGGAAGAGGUUGUGGAUAAGUGGAAGAAAUCGGAGUGGCAGCCUUAGCCCGAAUGAUUUUGGCAAAAGGACGUAUCCUCCUGGUGACAAGCACCAAAUCGUUCCUCUACCAGGGCUUCUCAGACAAGCAGCAUGUUGUUACUCUGUUGCCAAUGGAGACGUGCUCCUGCUCUGCAUUUGACAGUUCCCAGAGAUGUGUCCGCUGACUGGCAGCUGUACUGGCCAUUGGCGGAAGUGUACCGCCCUAUGCCAAUAAAGCUGAGGACAAGGCAUCUGGCCGCAAAACGCUCUGGCCAUAAGUGUGCCACCAAGGAGCAUGUCCAGAUGGGAGCCAAACACCAGGAAGAACAAUCGACUGUUCAUCAACAGGGUCACCUGUCUGACAAACACCCCAGCAGGGAUGAUGAAUUGGAGAAUAGAGUGAAGCAAGUGUGGGCAAUGUCGUCGGAUGGAGUGGACAGGCCAACUGCAAUAAUUUUGUUGGGAGGGAUCCUUUGCCAUCCUGCACCUCCAUGACUUCCUUACGUUGAAGCCCAAUGAGUGGCUUUAG